AGUGAACGCUGGCGGUAGGCCUAACACAUGCAAGUCGAACGGCAGCACAGGAGAGCUUGCUCUCUGGGUGGCGAGUGGCGGACGGGUGAGGAAUACAUCGGAAUCUACUUUUUCGUGGGGGAUAACGUAGGGAAACUUACGCUAAUACCGCAUACGACCUACGGGUGAAAGCAGGGGACCUUCGGGCCUUGCGCGGAUGAAUGAGCCGAUGUCGGAUUAGCUAGUUGGCGGGGUAAAGGCCCACCAAGGCGACGAUCCGUAGCUGGUCUGAGAGGAUGAUCAGCCACACUGAAACUGAGACACGGUCCAGACUCCUACGGGAGGCAGCAGUGGGGAAUAUUGGACAAUGGGCGCAAGCCUGAUCCAGCCAUACCGCGUGGGUGAAGAAGGCCUUCGGGUUGUAAAGCCCUUUUGUUGGGAAAGAAAAGCAGCAGGUUAAUACCCCGCUGUUCUGACGGUACCCAAAGAAUAAGCACCGGCUAACUUCGUGCCAGCAGCCGCCGUAAAAC
rnacentral:rRNA from 1 species